UAUAAAUAUUUAUAAUAUAAAUAUAAAACAUAUUUAUGUAGAUACAUGUAAAAUAAACUGUAUAUGCUGACGUACGGUUAAAAUUCUCUUAAAUUCAUUUGUAUUUAUAAAAAUUUAUAAAAGAGCUUCUUGCAGCAGUUAUGUAUAGAUUAGUAUAGAUAUAAAUAUAUAAAGUACAAAAUUGUCUGUAAACAGAGUGUAAUAAUAUUUACCGUGUAUUAAAAUGUACAUAACGACGGAAAUAAAGAAUAAUAAGAUAAAGUGAUUUGUACUUUGUGUUUAUUACAAAUUUUUGAAGUCAUCAUAGAGGACAUACAGAAUUAGCAUUUAAGUUUGGAAUUUUACUUCAAAUGCCUGAUUAUUCAGUCAAGGGUGUAGAAACAAGUCAAAGAGUGGCCACAGUUGUACACACAGGUCUGUUAACUGCUAUAAAGAAGAUGAGGUUCUUAAUGUCGCAAGAUGUACUAUACAAAUCUAUACCAUUGAACACUGCGAUCAAGUAGCUAGGAUUAUGUGUUUGGCCCCAUUCUUUGGUGAAAGCACUGACGAAACACAUUUCAAAAAGCUACAUCAAAAUACCAUAUCAUCUAUGAUAUCAAACACCCCUCAGGAAAAGCACACGAAGGGGCUGCAGUGAUAACAAGAAACGAUAUCAAACACCACUUACAUAGUCACAUUAGUCAGGAACACAUUCAAGCAACCACCGUUGCAAUACAAACUAACAGUAAUUACUUUCAGAUGUCAGCAGUAUAUGUACCACAGCGACACAAAAUGACAUUACAAAAAUGGGAACAGUAUUUUCAAUCCUUAGAUGAUAAAUACAUUGCAAUGGGAGACUUCAAUGCAAAGCACACGCUAUGGGACUCAAGAAUUAACACACCUCGAGGUAGAACACUAGAAAAAUAUAUUAGAACUAGUAAUCUCGAUAUAUUAUCCACAGAAAAACCAAUAUACUGGCCGACAGAUCUAAACAAAAUUCCUGACUUGCUUGAUUUUGCAGUUAUAAAAGGACUAAAUGCAAAUAAAUUAAAAAUGACAUCCAGUUUUGAACUUAGCUCCGAUCAUACACUGAUAAUAAUAGAAUACACAAUCAAACCAAUACUUUAUGGCAAACGCUUUGCAAUAAAAGCAGACAACACAUGGGCCACGAGCAAUGAAGAGCUAGCUGAAGAAUUUUCCACCCAUCUUUGUAACACAUUUACCCCAUAUAAUAUUCACAACAGUAAAUCCAAAUGUUAUUCAGUCAAAGAUGCGCAAAAUUCUAGUAUCUCAAUUAACAAGUACUAACUUGCAAACAAAGUAUACAAUAAGCACGAUUAUGUAGCACACACUGUACACAUUACGCAUCCAAGUCAUUCACAUUGAAAAUAGAUAAAAAAGAUCUAAAAAUAACGAAAAAUACAAAAAUAAAUAAUUAUUAACAGUUCCAUGAUGUAUGGACCAGACAGAAAAGUCUGUAUGAAUGGAGGUUGCCAGCUCUGGCGCUUGAGAUCGAAAGUGAGCAGCUGUCUAUGACAGUCCAAGUUACCAUAGAACAUAAUUGAAAUUAUGUUUGUUGGCACCGCAGUGAUAUUUUGGUCUGUUCACUCAUUUAAUCUUAAAUAACGAUUCAUUGAAGCUGUAAUGGUUUGAAGAUACAGUAUAUCUAUAUUAUGAUGUUUUUUGGGAAUUGCAGUGAAACUGUACGUGUCUGCCAAUUUGGAAAUGAGCUGUAAAAUAAAUUGUACUUUGAAUCGGUUUCAGUUUACUUGGGUUUGCUUGAUCUUACCAUUUUGUCUUGGUAUGGUCACACAUUUAUUUUGCAUGGGCAAUGUGAAAGUCCUGAGAAAGCAACUUCCAGUGAGGGUGAGGUAUGAAUGUAGCUUCUUUAGCGAUUUUGUCCGUUUCCUAUGUGGUAUUUAAAUCUGAGAUUAUGUAGUAUGUGGGUAGUUUCGUUAUAUCUGAUUUUUUCCAGAAUCUCUUUGAUGUAUGUUUGUGUGUUGUUAUCAUCAAUUUUGUAAGGCAAUGAAGCAGCCUAGUGAGUCAAUAGAUAUAGCAAAGACUCUUUCAGGAUGGUCUUUGACCGUGUUGAAGGCUCUGCUAGACAUUCAGCAGAGAACAUUGUGGUGUAGACAUGGAUACAGAUCGAAUCAGCACAGUUGAGCUUGAGGCAGAAACAUGUUGCUGCAUGGUUUUUGAACCAUCAGUGAAUAUAAGUGUACGUAAUAUAACUGGAAGGCAUAGUAAAUAGGACCUUUGGAAAAGCAGAGAUGAUAGAUAAAGGUUACUUAUUUUAGAGACAAUCCUGUGGCACUGUCAAUAUUAUUUGGAGGAAGGAGUGACUUCUGGUAUGAGCUGAUUCAACCAAUGGAGUUGUUUGCUAGCAGAGAUUUUAGUAGUCAGAUUAAUUGUCUAUUAGCAGUCUAUUAAUUGAUUUAAUUAAGAUAUUGGAGUGGUGUCAGAACUGUGGUUUCUUGAGUACAGCUAGUAGUUUCCCAGAUAUUUAUUCAAGAAAUGGAGUUAUAAGAAAUGAAGGCAAUAUUUUGGUAUGUCUUUGACCUAGAUAUUCUAAAUAUUUUAGGUCUUGACUCUAGCUUGGUUUUGGUAAGAGUAACGUUAUAGUGGAGUUUUAUAAGCCUAAGGAGAGCCUAGCAAUUGACAAUUGGGUCAUCUCUAGCUUCUGGAGGAGACCAUGUUGGUUUUGGUCAGUGAUAUGAAGUAAUUGAUUCUGUGAUGGAUGGGGCCAUUAUAGAUGUGCCACAUAGAAAUUUGAUUGCAUUGAGAAGAUUACGAAGAGUGCUGCAAAUCUCAUUUACGUUAUUGCUGAAAUUUACUUUUUGGCUGAGUUGGAUGUCCAGGAUCUUAUGUUUAUAUGAUGGUUUUUCUUAUUCUGUUAGAUGCUAUGCCAAUCGGGUUGCUUUUAUCAUAAACAUAAUAUCAUUAAACAUAAGUUCACUUUUCUAUACAGAGAUUUCGAGGCCCAAUGCUUCUGAGUUAGCUACGACUGGAUAUUAUCAGACGUGUGGAUGUUAUCAGAGGAGUUACCAUUUGUGCCUGCUGUGUACAGUGUGAAUGAAAGCUCAUUAGCACUACCGGAUUGCCAAAGUCCUCUUUAAUGCUGAAGUGAGUGAUAAGAAUGUCUGCGAACACAAGAUCAAAAACUGAUCUGACGUCGAUAAACACUGCUAUUGUUGUAACCUUAUUCAGAAUGAUGGUUCUUGCCAGAGAGAUGAGCUCGAGAAUAUUGUCGAUUGUCAAUCUGGCUUUCCGGAAGUCGGAUUAAUAUUCUGAUAGCAGGUUUUGCGAAUCCAGCCACCAGUAUAACCUCUGAAACACCCGGCGCUGCAGCAAUUCGCACCUGCAGAAAGUAAAGGCCCUUUAGGUAUGGUUUUCAGAUAAAGAAUACCUUGUCAUCAUGGCAUUUCUCUGGAAAAAGGUUUUGCAUGUACAUGUUAUUUAAAAUGCCCAGCAGAAUCAGUUCUCACAUAACUGGAAGGAAUUUGAUUCUUUUUUAAUCAAUCCUAUCUAAUUUUGGCUUUGAGCUAGUUUUCGCUUUGUCGAGUGCUGUGAUAAGUUUUGGGAGGUGAAAUUGUUGCGUAAAGAAGUGCUGGUAGUGUGAGGAGAUUGAGAUGUUGCUUGGUAUCAAAAGGGGAGAGGAGUUUUUCUAUCUAUGGUACUGGUAGUUCUUAAGAGUUAUUGUUUGAAUAUUCAUAGAUAUGUUAGUCCAUUUAUCUUUGAAUAUUUUCACUCUUUUCCAAAAGAGAAGCAUGUUUGAAUCGUGGUCCAACUUACUAGUCAUUUUGCGAAUUCUAUAUUUUUGUACAGAAGUUUUCUAGUGAUGAUGCAUGCUGCAGUCCAUCCAGACCUGGAAGGAACCUGUGUAGCGCUAUAUGAAGACCGUGGCUUUCCAUAGCUUUCUGUAUUGUCUUUCCAUGUAUUGUUUUUUUACAUUCCAUAUUUCAUCAGGGAACGGAGUUUCUGUGAUUGCUAAUGUGCGAUACUGGUGUUAUGGUGUUAUAUGUUUUGCUGUCUUCUUUACCACAUCAAUUCAAUUGACAGGAGAGUUGGCUACAAGUAUGUUAAGUUCUCAGAAAGUCAAUGCUACUUUGUUUUUUUUUUGGAGCGAUUUCGUAUCUUAGCUCAUUGUGUACAAAAUGCGUGGAUUGAAUGAUGAUAUACAUUACUAAGUUAUCUCCCAGGAUCGUUGAGCUGUGAAGUUAAGAUAUUGUGAUAUUCACUAUAUCGAGCGAUGAUUAAGUCGAGAUUGUUGUUAUAUUGGACUAAUUUCUCAAUGAGUGUCCGAAUUGAGGAUAGUGCAAUCAUUAUCUUCUAUUACUUCGAGUAGAACUUUUCAUGAUUUUCAAAUGCUCCUAUAUUUCCAAGAUUCACAAUGAGGGUUGAAGUUGUCCAUUAAAAUGUGUGGCGGCACUCGACACUAACUAGCAACGGACGACGGCAGCGCAGUGGUUAGCGCCUUAGGUUACGAACGUUCGGAACCCGGGAUCGAAUCCCGGCGACCGAAGUCCGAUUUUUCUUCCACGAUUAUGUACAGCAGUACCCCAGACGCGCGACAUCUACAGCCAACAGCUACUAAUAUCACGGACAACAUUAUACACCUCAAAUGGAAGGGCUCUGUAAGCGGAGUUACUAGAGAAGUUGAUGUGUAUCGGGCGUUGUUGGUGCUCAAGACGAGGUACGAGCAGAGGAGACCGUGUGGGACCCGGGAGGGGACUCGGCCGAGCAGGCGGCCCCUGACGACCUAGGAACCGCCGAGGAGGACGCAUGGGACUAGUGGCGAUCGCAGCUGAUCAACGAACAGCUGAAGUAGGCGAACACCGAGGCGCGCGGUGGCAGUUCUCUCAAAUUAGGGAACAUGGAGAAGCCGCCGCGGCCUCCCGCUCAUCUUCAGAAUGGCCUCAGAUACUCACGGGACACGGCGUGUUCGGGGAGUACCUGAAGAAAAUCGGACGGGAGACGACGGACAUCUGUCACCACUGCGGAGAAGAUAGGGACACGGCGCAGCAUACGCUGGAGGCCUGUCCGGCAUGGGAGCUGCCCCGCUCUACACCCUGCGACAAGUCAUAGGCGAGAGGCUGACCCCUUCAGCGAUCAUAGCAGCGAUGCUGAGCGGACCACAGGAAUAUGAGGCUGUCCGCCUCUUCCGCGAGCGAGUUAUGCUUGCAAAGGAGCGAGCAGAAAGGGUGAGAAAGAGAAAUUCUCACCCGUGUAGGAUAACGCGAUGGAGGAGGAUGGCAGUCAGGCGACCCAGAAAUAAUUCAUUGCCACCACAACGAACCGCGACUAAGAAGGAGGGACGGCGCCAGGGGCAAUGGUCCCCUCUAGCGCCAAAUUCAACAGCCAAGGAAUCUACAGGACUGGCUCGAAGAGAGAACGCGGGAGGGGAUGCAACAGAAGUAAUUCACCCGAGGUUCCUGGAGCAGCCCCUGUCAUACGCGUGGGAUGGCCAACGUGGAGUUUUAGUCGGUAGGAGUCCUACACUACUCUGCUGCUACCGUUAUUAGCGGCAGCGGAGUAUCCAUGAGAAUUUCUCCAUGUGCAAAAAAAAAAGGUUGAUGUUAUUAGAGAUUUUGAGGAGUUAUCGCUUAUUGUACUGUUGAUAGAGAUCUAUGUAAGAUUCUUUUUAAACAGAAUGAUCAUGCUUUCGUCCUUGCAGUCUUGUUUAACAUUGCUGGCUAGUGUGAAACCAGACAGAUUGAAGAAAAUUUAGUAGUUGAGCUAAAUUUCUACAUAGAUGAUGAUAUCGUAGCUUGGUGAAAUCUUUUCGAGUUCUGAUCUUUUACUGUGAAUAUUCGCACAAUUAUUUUUUAUUGCGGAUUGAGGAUGAGAGAAUGUAGCUAGCCUUAUUGAGCUGUGUGUUGCUAGUUGACGGAGUGUCUUUAUAUAGAUGGCUUGUAACUUAAAAUGAUGGAGAAUAUUGUUUGACUUAUUUUAGUGUUUUAUAGUAGACUUUGGCUUUGGCAAAGCAGAUUGAAUGAUUUUGGUUGCUUCUUGCUCUGUUUGAUUAUCUAUCAACGCUUUAACUGAGGAAGUGCUGUCAGCGUGGUUUAGAUGUGUUGCCGUUCUUUCCUUGUAUCUUUUUGCAUACCUGCCGAUUUCUUCUUAGACCGUUGGUAUUUUUAAGUUUUUGCGUAUAUCUUCGUUUCUGACAUACCAUGGGGCAUUGACUAUUGUUCUCAGUAUCUUCGAUUGUAGCGACUCUAGUUUAUUUAUGUGGCUCAUUGCUGCUGUCCCCGCAUAAUGGUCCGUACGUCCGUACGUUUCGUACGUCCAAAUUGGUUUUAUUAUCGUUUUGUACAUUUUUAGUUUAUUUUCCAUGCUGAGUUUAGAGUUUCGGCUAGUUAACCAGUACAUCUAUCUUCUUUUUAUCCGUAUUUUGUCUAUAAUUAAUUUAGUAUGUUGCUUCCAUGCAAAUUACGGGUCCUAGGUAUUUAACUUGCCUUGUUUGUGUUAUGUGCGUGCUAUUUAAUUGGAUAUUUGCUAUUGAAAUACUCUAACGAAAUCACGCUCGGAAGAAAGUUUUUUACUGUUAGCGACUUUCUCAGAAAUAGUUUUGUUGUUUUCAUAUCAUAAACCAUGCUAGCCGCUGGCAGGAUGAUUUCUUUUUUGUUUCUGUAGUUAGCUGCUACAGUUAUUGUUAUCGUUUUAUAAACUAGUAAUUUGUUGCUCAUGCUCAAUCUAGAUUUUCUUACUGUAAGAUAGUGCAAUGAUUUUCUCAUUACCAUUAGGUGUUAGGUGUUUUCCAGUUAACUUAUAAUCCAAAUGCAGUACAAGAUAUUUAACCGAAGCUGUUUGUUGGAUUUUCUGAUUUAACAAUUUAAUCUUAGAAGAUUCUUUCUUUUUAAAAAUGAAGGCAACGUGCGAACACUUGUUUGAGUUUACUUGGAUUUUAUUUCUCAUUUAGCGUUCUAUAUUGUAUAGAUGCUUUUUAGGUUUCUUGUUGCUAUUUUAAUGUUUCCAUGCUUGGAUGGGAUAUGUUCUUUUUCUUUUUUUUUAUUAUUUAAUUUGUACUUUACAAUAUGUCCAGCUGGACAUUCGGCAAAUUUUCCUAGCUUAUUUUCAGAUGUGGACGUAGCGAAGGAAUAAGUUUCCGUUUUCAGCAUUGUUAUCAAUAAACAAAAUAGAAAAUGGGUUCGAGGGCACUUUCUCGUGGAACCGUAAAUUUCUUUGAGAGAGAACACUUACACUUCUAAUUUUAACAUACAAAUACCUAUUCGUAAUGUGGGAGAAAAUAAUUCUAUAUGUGCUAUUCAGCAGAAUUGUUUAUAACUUCCUUAAAAUUCUUCAUUUUAUCACAUAAUACAUAAAAUCAUUCAGACUUUAGCGGAGGCUUUUUCCACAUUGAGAAACAACGCGGUGCAGUAUUUUCCUUCUUCCAUUGAUUGAAUUACGUCGCUUGCCAUUCUAUGUAUUUACUUUACUGUAUUGUGAUUCUUUCUAAAUCUAAAUUGUUGACCUAGGAUUAGGUAUUUAGCUAUUGGCGGGGUAGUUGGCUACGCUCGUUAAAGCCCGGGCUGAAAACGACGCGUCGUGAGUUUCGAAUACUCGCCCUGGAUAUAUUUCCAAAGGAUGGAAAACUCAAAAACUCUCUUAAAAGUAAUAAUACAACAGGCAAGCCCCAGAGGAGAGAGUAGUCCCCUUGCGUCUUGUGCUGGUACCAAGCGAGUGCUUGGUAACCACUCCAGGGGCCGACGAUCGCUCGCAUCGAUCCCUGCCAUCUAGUAGGUGUUUUAGCCGGUAAGAGUCCGGGCGGCACUAUCUUCUGCCGUCCUGUGUUCCCCGGUCCGCAGAACGGUGAGGUUAAGGUGCCUAUGAGAAUUUCCAUACGUGAAUAUAUAAAAAGACAUCACUAAUAAUAAAUAAAAGAAAAUAAAAAAAAUAAAACAAAUAAAAAAAAUAAAGAAAAAAGAAAGGAGAAAAUUUUUUUUAAUGUGGCGGAGAGUGAUGGCGGUCAAGAAGCCCAGGACCGCUUCGCCACUCCCCACCUCGGGUCGCAAAUAACAGGGGAGUUGGCGCUAGGGGCAAUGGCCUCCUCUAGUGCCAAAUUAAUCAGUUAGGAAACUUUUAGGAUCAGCUCACCAUCAAGAGGACGCGGGGAGUACAUC